AACGCAAAUUGCACUCCCUGGUAUUCCGGAGAGUAUGCUUGCUUGAGGGUUAGAUAAUAAAAAUCGUAAAAAAUAUUUUUACGGAUCUGGGUUUUCCAAAAGUUUCUUUUUGGUAAUCUAAAAUUUAUUUUAACAAUAGGUAAUAUUGGAAAUGUUUAUCUUUGAUUCAUUAACAAUUAUUACUAAUUUGUUACGUCGUAUUAUUUUUUCUAAUUCUUUAAUUAGUUUAAAGUAAUACAAUUUUUUUGAAAUCUGGCCUCAAGUCAAGUAAGAAUACCCGCUGAACUUAA
rnacentral:misc_RNA from 1 species